rnacentral:rRNA from 1 species
UACGUAGGGCGCAAGCGUUGUCCGGAAUUAUUGGGCGUAAAGAGCUCGUAGGCGGUUUGUCGCGUCUGGUGUGAAAACUCGAGGCUCAACCUCGAGCUUGCAUCGGGUACGGGCAGACUAGAGUGCGGUAGGGGAGACUGGAAUUCCUGGUGUAGCGGUGGAAUGCGCAGAUAUCAGGAGGAACACCGAUGGCGAAGGCAGGCCUCUGGGCCGCAACUGACGCUGAGGAGCGAAAGCAUGGGGAGCGAACAGG